rnacentral:rRNA from 1 species
AGGGUUUGAUCAUGGCUCAGAUUGAACGCUGGCGGUAGGCUUAACACAUGCAAGUCGUGCGAGAAAGUAUCUUCGAGCAGGCGACGGGUGGCGGACGGGUGAGUAACGCGUGGGAAUCUACCUAGUAGUGGGGGAUAGCCAGAAGAAAUUCUGAAUAAUACCGCAUACGCCCUACGGGGAAAGAAGGCCUCUUCUUGAAAGCUUUCACUAUUAGAUGAGCCCGCGUUAGAUUAGCUAGAUGGUGAGGUAAAAGCUCACCAUGGCAACGAUCUAUAGCUGGUCUGAGAGGAUGACCAGCCACAUUGGGACUGAGACACGGCCCAGACUCCUACGGGAGGCAGCAGUGGGGAAUAUUGGACAAUGGGCGCAAGCCUGAUCCAGCAAUACCGCGUGUGUGAAGAAGGCUCUAGGGUUGUAAAGCACUUUAAGUUGGGAGGAAAGGGUGAUGAUUAAUACUCAUUAUCUGUGACGUUACCAACAGAAUAAGCACCGGCUAACUCCGUGCCAGCGGCCGCGUUAAUACGGAGGGUGCAAGCGUUAAUCGGAAUUACUGGGCGUAAAGCGCGCGUAGGUGGUUGUGUAAGUGGAAUGUGAAAGCCCUGGGCUCAACCUGGGAACUGCAUACCAAACUGCGCGACUAGAGUACGAUAGAGGGGGGUAGAAUUUCAGGUGUAGCGGUGAAAUGCGUAGAGAUCUGAAGGAAUACCGGUGGCGAAGGCGGCCCCCUGGAUUGAUACUGACACUGAGGUGCAAAAGCGUGGGUAGCAAACAGGAUUAGAUCCCCUGGUAGUCCACGCCGUAAACGAUGUCUACUAGCCGUUGGAACCCUUAGAGGUUUAGUGGCGCAGCUAACGCAAUAAGUAGACCGCCUGGGGAGUACGGCCGCAAGGUUAAAACUCAAAGGAAUUGACGGGGACCCGCACAAGCGGUGGAUGAUGUGGAUUAAUUCGAUGCAACGCGAAAAACCUUACCUACCCUUGACAUGCCAGGAACUUUCCAUGAUGCUUUGGUGCCUUCGGGAGCCUGGACACAGGUGCUGCAUGGCUGUCGUCAGCUCGUGUCGUGAGAUGUUGGGUUAAGUCCCGCAACGAGCGCAACCCUUGUCAUUAGUUGCUACAUUUAGUUGAGCACUCUAAUGAGACUGCCGGUGACAAGCCGGAGGAAGGUGGGGAUGACGUCAAGUCCUCAUGGCCCUUAUGGGUAGGGCUUCACACGUCAUACAAUGGCGCGUACAGAGGGUUGCCAACCCGCAAGGGGGAGCCAAUCCCAGAAAGCGCGUCGUAGUCCGGAUUGUUCUCUGCAACUCGAGAGCAUGAAGUCGGAAUCGCUAGUAAUCGCGGAUCAGCAUGUCGCGGUGAAUACGUUCCCGGGUCUUGUACACACCGCCCGUCACACCAUGGGAGUGGGUUUCACCAGAAGUAGCUAGCCUAACCGCAAGGGGGGCGGUUACCACGGUGAGAUUCAUGACUGGGGUGAAGUCGUAACAAGGUAACCGUA